rnacentral:rRNA from 1 species
AUGCAAUGUCGUGGUGUAGUGUACGGCACCUGGGCGUCAUCCAGGAACUUUCACCCCAGCGAUCAAAUUGUCUUCAAGUACUCUCCUCAGGCACACGAUGUCCUUGAGGUCAGCAAGGCCGAUUACGACUCCUGCAGCACCGCCAGCCCCAUCGCCACCCUCAACUCCGGGAAUGAUGUCGUCUCCCUCACUACCACCGGCACCCGCUACUUCCUCUGUGGCUUCCCGGGCCACUGCGCGGGGGGAAUGAAGGUCAAGAUCGAUGUCGUGCCAAGCUCGUCCUCUUCCUCCCCGGCCCCGGCCAGCAGCCCCAGUGCAAGCAAUGCUCCCCCGCCGGCGCCUGUCUCUGCCGCCACCUCUAUGGAGGCCACAGGGUUUAGCCUCGCCGUCUUGCUUGCCGUUGCCGGUCUGAUGGCUUGA